rnacentral:misc_RNA from 1 species
GCAGCAACCUCGAGCUCAACAACGACGGCACGGCGAGCGAUCGCCCGAACGAUGUGCCGCGCAAUUCGCUGACGCUGCCGUCGCGCAAGAACGUGGACUUCCGCUACUCGCGCAAGUUCACCAUUCACGACAACAUGGCGGCGGAAGUGAUCGGCGAAGUGAAGAACCUGUUCAACACGGAGCAGGUCAGCAGCGUCAACGCGAAUGUGCCGACCAACGCGCAGGGCAUCCCGCUCGGUACGCUGCCGACGUCGGGCAAGGACCUGCAGCCGACCGGCGGGUACGAGCAGCGGCAGUUCCAGUUGGGGUUCAAGUUUAUUUUCUGAUAGACCCGAGGACACGGAGAAGUACGGAGGACACGGAGGCUGACUCCGUGUCCUCUCUUGUCAGGCGUCGGCUCCGUGUUCUCGGAACCGUAAGGAAACGAAAUGCGCAGAUCGUUCUUCGCCCUGGUCGUUUUCGCCUCCGCGCUCUCGGCACAUUCGAGCGCGCAGCAUCAGCUCAUGCCGGUCUCCCAGAUGAGAGGGGAACCCGCGCUCGAAUUACAGUUGCGCAAGCUCGACACCGUGGGCAGCUUCAUGAUGACCACGGCGCAUCCGGACGACGAGAACAACGCGAUGCUGGCGUACUUCUCGCACGGCAAGGGUUUUCGCACGACGCUGGUGACGGCGACCCACGGCGAGGGCGGGCAGAACGAGAUCGGCCCGGAGCUGUUCGAGGCGCUCGCCGUCCUUCGCACCGAGGAGCUGCUGGCCGCGCACAAGUUCGACGGCGCCGAGCAGUUCUUCACGCGCGCGAUCGAUUUCGGCUUCUCGUUCAGCAUCGAAGAAACGCUGGAAAAGUGGGGACACCAGGAGAUCCUCGGCGACUACGUCCGCAUGAUCCGCACCAUCCGCCCGGACGUCAUCGUCGGGUUUGUGUUCGAUGGCGACGGUGGCGGCCAGCAUCACCAGACCUCGACGCGGCUGACGCUCGAAGCGUUCCGCGCGGCAGCCGACCCCG